AAUUAUGAACAUACCGCCUUGUCAGUGCCCAAUCUCGUCUGAUCCCGGAAGCUAAGCAGGGUUGGUCCUGGUUAGCCCUUGGAAGGGCUGCCAAAAAUA
rnacentral:rRNA from 1 species